AGGGUUUGAUUAUGGCUCAGGACGAACGCUGGCGGCGUGCUUAACACAUGCAAGUCGAACGAGAAUCUAUUGAAGGAGUUUUCGGACAACGGAUAUAGAGGACAGUGGCGGACGGGUGAGUAACGCGUGAGGAACCUGCCUUUCAGAGGGGGACAACAGUUGGAAACGACUGCUAAUACCGCAUGACACAUAGGUGUCGCAUGGCACUUAUGUCAAAGAUUUAUCGCUGAAAGAUGGCCUCGCGUCUGAUUAGCUAGUUGGUGAGGUAACGGCCCACCAAGGCGACGAUCAGUAGCCGGACUGAGAGGUUGAACGGCCACAUUGGGACUGAGAUACGGCCCAG
rnacentral:rRNA from 1 species